UUUUUUUUCCCUCUUUGUCUGAAACUAUCGAACCCUAAUAACUCUCACUUUUCUGAAAACUCUCGAACCUUGUCCACCUCGUUCUCUCUCCAACCUGACCUGCCCCGAUUCCCCGACCUCGUUCUCCAACCUGGCCUGAGCUCGUUGUCCGAUCCGAGCUGCUCGAGCUCCUUCUCCGACCCGAGCAGCUCGAGCAGCUCCUUCUCCGACCUUACCUCGAGUUCAUUCUCCAACAUGAGCUCGUCAAUCUCCGACAUGAACUCCCUACAAGAUUUGGUUCUGCAACUCUUAGGAUACUUCUUGAAGGCUUACUUGAAGGCUUGAAGGCUGGGUUCAAUCGAUACUUUGAUUUCAGUUUUUGGUUGAAGGCUGGGUUCGAUUUCGGAUUUCUAGGGAUACAGGGCAGCCUUGCUAUUAAAACUGUGGAACUUCAGGACUCGGGUUCGUUCUGCUAUAUUGGGUUACCUACUCAUAUUCAGAGUUAAUUAUUAAUUACUCUGGCGUUGGUUUUGAUCUUAUACUCUGUUCGUCAGUUUUCUUGCUCUAAAUUUGUUCCUUGUUUUGGCAUUUGAUCAUAUUAAUCUUGCAUUUUGUGGUUAUAAGUGGAUGAUUCAGUUUGUUGUUGGUUUUGAGUUUGGGUUUGUAUGCUACAUAUUCACAAUUCAAACAAACAGAUUUGAAAUUUUCAUGCUUGCAACUAAGAUGCAUGACCUAUGUUUAUGUAGGCACAAGUGGGAGGUGAGUGCACACAUACAUGUAGUGGGAAGUUAAAUUUAAUUUAACUGGAGAAGGGUAUAAAAGCAGAGGAAAGCAGUGACAUCGUUUUUUGCUGCCUUUGAUGCCUUGUGUGAAGAAGGAACUGCAACAACUAUGUGCAGAGCUCUUGAUGAAGUUGUAGAUAUAUCUAUACCAGGUUCAAAAGACCAUAUCAAGGAGCAGGGUGAAAUCUUAGAGGGUAUUGUUGCUCGUAUUGUAAGCCAUGAGAGCUCAAAGCAUAUGGUGGAAGUCUUAAAAGAUUUCCCUCCUCCUCCAAUGGAAGGAGCUGGUCAUGAUUUGGGACCAAGCCUAAGGGAGAUUUGUGCUGCAAAUAGGUCGGAUGAAACACAGCAAAUAAAAGCUCUUCUCAAGCGUGUUGGCUCCUCUUUUUGCCCUGACCAUUCAGACUGGCUUGGGGGAGCUGGUGAUACCCAAUCUAGAAAUGCAGAUAAAGCUGUGGUUUCAAAAUUUUUACAAUCUCACCCUGCUGAUUUUUCUACCACCAAAUUGCAGGAAACGAUAGUAACGCGGUCUAUCCCCAGUUGAUUUAGGAAACUUUGCUGCUGUAUAUGUACCUCUUGCAUAGCAAUGGUUAGCUACUCAAUUUCCAUGGCUGAUGACAUCUGCUAAUUAAUCUUCAUUAAUCGUCACAAGGAAUUAUAUGUUGUAUAAUCCAAGUCAAGACUCAAGUUUUUGAAAGAGAUAUAUUCCUCAAUAUAUAUAUUGUUGCUCUGUAUUUGUUGAUUGCUGGAUGAUAAUAACUGAUGCUUACCUUGACAAGCAGUUGCCUCUUUCUGAUCACAAGUACAAAACCUACUUCUUGAAGCCAACAAUGGGUGCUUGGAUUAUGCUGCCAGGAAUACACCUUGGAGAGAAUGUUUGCAAACCAGCUACUCGAAUGUG